UCGGGAGGCAGCAGUGGGGAAUAUUGCACAAUGGGCGCAAGCCUGAUGCAGCCAUGCCGCGUGUAUGAAGAAGGCCUUCGGGUUGUAAAGUACUUUCAGCGGGGAGGAAGGGAGUAAAGUUAAUACCUUUGCUCAUUGACGUUACCCGCAGAAGAAGCACCGGCUAACUCCGUGCCAGCAGCCGCGGUAAUACGGAGGGUGCAAGCGUUAAUCGGAAUUACUGGGCGUAAAGCGCACGCAGGCGGUUUGUUAAGUCAGAUGUGAAAUCCCCGGGCUCAACCUGGGAACUGCAUCUGAUACUGGCAAGCUUGAGUCUCGUAGAGGGGGGUAGAAUUCCAGGUGUAGCGGUGAAAUGCGUAGAGAUCUGGAGGAAUACCGGUGGCGAAGGCGGCCCCCUGGACGAAGACUGAC
rnacentral:rRNA from 1 species